rnacentral:rRNA from 1 species
AUACGUAGGGUGCAGGCGUUAAUCGGAAUUACUGGGCGUAAAGCGUGCGCAGGCGGCUUCCUAAGUCAGAUGUGAAAUCCCCGGGCUUAACCUGGGAACUGCGUUUGAAACUGGGAGGCUAGAGUGCGGCAGAGGGAGGUGGAAUUCCACGUGUAGCAGUGAAAUGCGUAGAUAUGUGGAGGAACACCGAUGGCGAAGGCAGCCUCCUGGGCCAGCACUGACGCUCAUGCACGAAAGCGUGGGGAGC